GCAGAAGGGACUUCGCCGGAGCCCAGUUUUGAAAACUUUUUCCAGCUAUGAUAAACACACACACAAAAACAAACAAACAAACAAAAACACAACAAAACAAAACCUGCCCAUUUUGGUCACCUAAGGGCAAAAAUAAUCAACACAACAAGGGCUUCAAGAAAAUUGAUUUAAAAUGUGGUCAGGGAAGGGAGUAGAAGUAGGUGGAAGGUGAGAGUGGGUUUGUGGCAGGAGGAAAUGAUAGACCACUGGAAGAGAAAUGGAAAUAUCUGUGAAGCCAUAACUCUUAAGAUAGGUCCACUAAGAGGCAGAGGUGUAACUGAAGGUCAUAAUAUGACACUCUGCUGAUCCCACACCCUACCACUACACAAAUAAGUUUCUGGCAUAACAGUGAAUUGCGCUUGCAAGAUUCAGAGUCUCUAUAAUGAGCAGUACACAGGAAACCUGAAAGCUAAUAGGGAAGACAAAAAUAAAGACAUCAGAGCAAUUUGAAGCCCCUAGCACUUAAAAUUAUAAAAAGACCUAAAUAUGAUCGAACACUGCUAGAGAGGUUAACAUAAAAAACAAAACAAACAAACCUCACACGAAAGACUCACUUACCCCAGUUUGUACCACCCACUACAACAUGCCCAGCUUUCCAAAUAGCCAAAGGGCAGUCAGGCGCGGUCGGUCGUAUGCACCUGUAAUACCAGGCACUUGGCAGGUGGAGCCAGGAGAAUUGCUUGAACCCAGGAAUUUGAGGCCAUCCUGGGAAACAUUAGUAAGAUUCAGUUCAAAAAGAAAGAAAGAAAGAAAAGUCAAAGAACAAGGAAAAAACAAAAGAACAACAAACAAAAACAUUUUAGAGGCGAUAAUACAUAUGUAUUUCCAAUAUUAUAAAUGAACGACAAAAAAGUUAUCACUACUGAGUCCCACAGAUAUUAAGAAAGGCAAUAAAGGAAUAGUUAAGAACAACUGUAUGAUCAGAAAUUUAAUACAAAGUGGAAACAUGUCAAUUUCUUGGAAGGUAGAAACCACAACAUCUCUUUCAAGAAGAAAUAAUCUGACUACUCCUAGAACUAUUAAAGGAAUGGAGCCUAUAAUGAAAACCUUCCCAUAAGAAAAGACCCAGUACUCUACCACACAAUCCCAAGUCAAUUCUACCAUAUAUGUAAAGAAAUAAUCCUUAUUUUCUAUAAUAUCUUCUGAAAAGUAGAAAUAGAGCCCUUCCUGACUCAUUCUCUGAGACCAGCAUUACACUAAUACCAAGAACAAAUCAUAAUUCUCAGAUGAAUUAACUUUGGCUUUUUUGCCUUAAGUUAGUUUGGAAUUUUAAAUUCACAAAAUAGGUUUACAAACAUAGUACAGAGUUUCUGUAUACCUUUCUGUAUACCCUAAAAGAACAGAGUCA
rnacentral:lncRNA from 1 species